GAUGAAGAACGUAGCGAAAUGCGAUAAGUAAUGCGAAUUGCAGAAUCCGUGAGUCAUCGAAUCUUUGAACGCACAUUGCGCCCUCUGGUAUUCCGGAGGGCAUGCCUGUUCGAGCGUCAUUAUCACCCCUCAAGCCCGGCUUGUUGUUGGAUGCAGCGCUUAUCCCGCUCCUCCCAAAGAUAAUGACGGCGUCUGCGACGACUCCUGUACACUGAGCUUUCGGGCACGUACACGGCUAGAAGUCCAGACCCGGUCGCCGUCCCCCCCCGCGGGGACACCCAUUACCACAAGGUUGACCUCGGAUCAGGUAGGAAUACCAGCUGAACUUAAGCAUAUCAAUAAGCGGAGGA
rnacentral:misc_RNA from 1 species